CCAUUAUGCUCCUAAUCCCCCUACAUUUGAGGUUCGAAAUCAUUGUAUUAACUAAACAUGACAUGUCAGAGUUAAAUUUCAUCAACAAAACUGAAACAAACUGAAAGUGCUCCUUUUCAAUUAAAUAGACGAUUUAUUAAGAUUAGUCUAACUAAGUAAUUGCCUAUCUUUAGGCGUUAUUCUUGGUUUAUAGGAUUUUAAUCCUAAAAUAACUUUAAAAGUAGGUAAGCUGUAAGAAUUUGGACAAUAUAUUCGAAAUCAGGGACCUCGAAUUUAGUUAAUAAGGGCGUUUUCAACACAAACGAACAUUGUUUACUGACAUGAUCAAUGUUACCCCAUAUCAACAAAAUCAAAAAUUUGAUUAAAAAGCUUGUUUAAAAAUGUUUUAAAGUUUGAACAUACUUAUUAAAGUAGUCUAACACAAACGAAGAUUGCCAGUACUUGUUUUAAAAGUAUAAAACAUGUAACGUUUGCUUCUACAAGAGAACUACUAAAGAAAAUCGUAAAUUUUGAUCAAUGUUACCCCGGAUUA